rnacentral:rRNA from 1 species
ACUCCUACGGGAGGCAGCAGUGGGGAAUAUUGCGCAAUGGGCGGAAGCCUGACGCAGCGACGCCGCGUGGGGGAUGACGGCCUUCGGGUUGUAAACCUCUUUCAGUAGGGACGAAGCGCAAGUGACGGUACCUACAGAAGAAGGACCGGCCAACUACGUGCCAGCAGCCGCGGUAAU